rnacentral:lncRNA from 1 species
AUGAGAAGUUCCCCCGGGGACCAAAAGGUUAAAAAUAGAUACGGCAAAUGCAGAAGCAGCCACAGGACACGGGGUGAACGCGACAGCUCGUCCCUUUGGUGUAGAGAUACGGACACCGAGAAGCCAUUCCACACUUUGCUUUGUCCACGAAACCAGACCUGGCAGCCGCAUGCUGCGGGGUUGGCUGCCAAAUGCACGGCCUUCGGGUUUGCAGAAGCGGAGCCCCCGGCCCCCCAGAGCCAGAAGCGGACGGCGGCUCGGGCAGCAGGUGGCAGGGGGGCGACUUCACAGUGGGGCCGGGCUGCAGAGCCUGACACGCUGGGCCGCGAGGAGGGUGCAGGGGGGAAGGGGGGCGGCCCUCGGCCUUCCUUUCUCCUCCCCACCUGCUGGCCUCCGCAGCCGGCUCAGCUGCAGACUGGGUUCCUCGGUGUCUUCAGGAAAUACCACCCCCCCCCAAGUGUAGGACUCUGUCCAGUUCACCUUUUCUAUCUCAACACUUUCCAUUCCGAAAACCAAAGGGCUGGAACGCUGGUUUGCAAAUGUCAGGGACACUUUCAGCCCCAACCUAGGGCCAGGUGCCCCCCGCCCCCCCACACCCCAAAAAAGUGGUGGGUCACAUACAGGUAUACACAUCUUUCGUUGUCGUUGUGGCUGUUUGGAACAAACCGAACAGUGUUUGGUCUGGAAUGUGUUUUAAGGAAAAGGCAAACGUUGCCGAGUCUGGGCAGAGAGAACGUGGACGUAGUUGACGGUCUCAGGAGAACAUGCAACGGGCUCGGGCGCUGGUUGAAACAGAGGCCCUUCGUUUCAUUCGCCAGAAGCGAGCGCGUGACCCUGGGAAGCAGUACAUCUUAUUUCUGUUUGCAAAAUGGGAGGAGCUGCCCUCUGCCGGCCCUUGCUUUCCUUUCACGCAUCAGAAGGAGACCUUGGGAGCCACGCAGGGUUGGGGAGCGUUGCCGGGGGAAGCACAGCAGUCACCCCAGCUCUCUGUCCUCAGCCCCGGCGCCCUGGUUCCCGUGUGGCUGCUCCAGGGCGAGAAUCAGUGCAGGCCGAGGCUCAAGUACUGAGUUAUCUCUGCUGGAUAUGGUCUUUGCUGUUUAA